GGAAAUUACCGGGCUUGAUGCCCGGUCUUCCCACCGGAAAUUCGUGUGUUUUCAUAGCUUCGUCAGGCGCUGGGUCCUGUGCGGCAGGAUACUGUGAACCCCGCCAGGGUCGGAAGGCAGCAACGGUAAGCAGAGCGUCCUGGGUGACACGGGGCAGCCUGGUGACCUGGCGGAGCUAUGAAAGCACACGAAUUUUU
rnacentral:SRP_RNA from 1 species